GUCGGGAUAGCUCACCGG
rnacentral:tRNA from 1 species